ensembl:lncRNA
AUAAUUACUUCCAUUACAUAAGUCUAUUUCAGAAUUCCUGAACUUAACACUGAAGCAAUAGCUAGAAGGUAAAUUAUAUCAAAAAUGCCUUUAUUCAGAGUUCCCAUCAUGGCUCAGUGAGUUAAGAACCCAACAUAGUGUCAAAGAGGAUGUGGUUUCAAUCCCUGGCUUCACUCAGUGGAUUGAGAAUUGCAUUGCCACAAGCUGGGUAGGUUGCAGAUGUGUAGGUUGCAGAUGUGGCUUGGAACCAGCAUUACUGUGGCUGUGGCAUAGGCCUGCAGCUGCAGCUCCGAUUUGAACCCUAGCCUGGAAACUUCCAUAUACCACAGGUAUGGCCUAAAAACAAACCGGAAAAAAAAAAAAAAAAAAAGCAACAAUAACUGAGUUCUUCCCUGUCAUCUGAAGGUCACCCUCGCCAUCCUAUUUCCCCUGCAGUCCUGAGAGAUGACUGCAUGUGCUUUUGACUCUCUCAUCAAUCAAUCUCAGAAAGAAACCAUGCCAUGUUAUUCUGAGAAAAAUAUACAAAAUGUUAAAUUUGUAAGUUUCAGGUGACAUAUGAAAUCUUUUUUAAGAUUUUUCCCAAAGUUCUGAAAAGCCAUAGCCAGGAUCAUGAUGUAAUAAGACAUAACAUUUUUCCUUUAAAAAAAAUUUAAGAGCAUGUGUAGAGUUAAGAAGCUGUUGUACAUUUAUGAUUUAAUAAAAUAAUUCUAAAGGAAAAAAUAUACAAAAUUUGGUAAUGAAAAACUGUUCAUGUACCCCUGCGUUUAAGACCAUGGACAGUAACCAACAUGAGGCUUGAUUUGUAUAACUGAAGUUUUUGGCUAUUAUCAGAGUAAAAGUACCUACAAUGAACAUUCAUGAUUGUUGAAAAUGGGGAAUGAAGAGAGGGGAGCAGCAGCAGAAGACCUCUGAGAGGCAAAGUACACCAAAACUGCACCCACAAGGAGCUGCCUGCAGUUAAGAAGAGGGAAGUCAGAUGUCACAGAAGAGGUCCUGCUAUACCGAGACAACACAUUGGGGAGGGAUCCAGAGAGAGAGCCUCAGCUCAGUGCCCAGCCAACAUCCAGCCUCCAGUGCAACCACCCACGACUUGGAGCCACGAGAGUGGAUGAAAUAGUAAGACAGCAGUGGAAGAGGAAAAUACUGCCCGGAACCAAGCUCUGAGGAAGACAGACAAUCAAGGUAGAGGAACAAGAGGAGAAAUCUGAGAAAUGUCCCAGAGAACAGGAGCAAAAGCAGGUGAGUGUCAUCAAUAAAGUGUUCUGGGCUCAUUCCCCUAUUUUUCUA